AUCCUUAGCUUUUGGCUUUCCUCUGCUUACCCACAUCUAUGUCUGUGGCAGCACUAGAAAAACUGCAUGUUUGUGUCCGGAAAAUGGUGGAACUGCAGCCUGAAGUAUCUGAAGGCAGUCUCUAGAGUGCCUGGAAGAGCGUAACAGCUCAUUGACUUGCAAUGUGAUUAAUCCUUGGAUUAGUCAAAAUAUGAUGCAAACAGAUCCUGACCCAGUGCUGAAUGUUGUUCUUGCCUGUGCAUGCAGUGUUAGGUACCUUACAACUGUCUCGAAUUGAUCAGGACAUCCGGAUUUUGUAACCUCAUUUUAUAACUGUUCCUCUCUCUCUAAUUCCAUCCUGUGAAGUUCUGAGGAUAUGUAACAAGAAGCCAUCCAGUUACUAUUCCUUGCAGCUAUCAGCCAGUGUCACCUGCUUCUUUGGCAUCAUCAUGCAAGCAUGCACUGUCACACUCCCUGCUGGAAUCUCAGCUCGCGGGUUGAGAUUCACACCAUCACUCAGCCUGACGAGAGUGUUGACUCCUGGAGCCAGAGCUGUGUUUGGGAGCACAUAAAAGCACCGGAGUCCCCUACGUCUUGGCAGGACUUCAAGGACUAUCCCAACGAAGCGAUCUUGACAGCAUAGUUGUAAACUCCACAGGCCCCAAGGGCUCAAACACCAUGAUAUUUAUGCUACGGACUGGAUUGCCAAGAUAGUAUUGCUGUUUUGCAGACAUCAGUCUCUGGAGUGACCCGCUCCAGCUUUUGAAAACGGCACAAACAGGAGGAAAACGUGCUCAGGAAGCGGGAUUUGGGGACAAUUCCUCGCUGCAGGACGAAUGAGCCCGGCCGGCCGGGGACCCGUCCAGCCCCGGCGGGGACCGCGGGCCAGAGGCACCCUCUGGCGGCCGGCGGGGCACGGCCCCGAUCUCGGCCGUGGGCUGCCUCCAGGCACGGCUUGCAACCGGCAGACACAGCCUCGAAGCUCUGCUGCCCUCUGGCUCGAGGGCUCAGAGCCUUAGGCCCCCCCCAUCAUAACCAUGGGUGGGUGCAGAGCUGCUUGCAGGUCUCUUUCAGCAGCUUCAGUGUAAUGGCUUUUGGUUGUCAAACUCAUUUUAGGCUUCUUCGUUAAGUCCAGUACUUACCCUGCGUUAUAUAAGCGCCAUGAAAAAAUGUUGGCUGUGUUAGGGGCCAAAUGCCUGACAUCAGAAUUUAAAGUGCAAAAACGUUUACAUGAUGUGAGCCUACUAUUUCAGCUGAUGCUAUUUUAAACCUACAAAUCCCUAUUUAUUGACUGAAUAUUCUUGCCACAUACACUUGUGUAGAUUUUUACAAAGGCGGGAAGUGCUAAGAGCCUCUGAUCAAAGCUGUACGCAGUGCAACCCAAAUUCUGAAUGCUGGUUUGAAUUUCUUAGGCAGCUCGUAUCUUUAGAAAUUGCUGCAGGUUUGCAUUGAGCCAAAAUUUCACACAUUGAACACUGGAAAUGUUGACCUCGAUUGGGAUAUUUGCUCCUGGGCUUCUUUGUCUGGCAAUAAGUCAACACGGAAGUUUUCAGCCUUUUCUGAUAUAUGGGUCCUUUCACUUGUGACUUAAAGCCAUUGGCAACAGUCCUGUUUUCCUUAGAGGUCUUUCAAUGAACUGCAAGCCUGAACUCCUGCACUUGCUGUGAUUGAAGUGAUCUUAUUAAACAGCCAGGCCUUGUUGCUCAUCCAAAUCAUAAACCUCAACAGGUUACAAGUUUUGAUAUCUUAGUAGUGCACAGAACCACUUCUGUGAUUCUAUGAUUCUACUUCUGUUUCUUCCAAGCCACUGUAAGAGAGCUGUUCUUUUCCAUUCUUGCUGAAGCUUUGUUAGCUUGAAAUGCCCUCUGCACAGUACUAUAAGAAAGGACCUUGCUGUAGUUAUUUGAAUUCAUCUCAGAGUUGAACAUAAAAUAUUAGAAGGAUUCCUUUAGCAGUGUUGAAAUAGCAUAAGUGGGCAUAUCCUAUGCUUACCAUGCAUGUGAUAUUCCCAGCAACUGACUGACAUACCUUCAAAAGAUCAAAUUCAGCCUUCCUUGCAUGGUAUAAGAUAAAAAUCUGGCCUAGGAUUUAACUGUACCUGGUAAUUAAGUUUAAAGAACAAUAAUGCCUCGCAAACCUCUCCAGGCCUACAGUAAGCAUGCUGGAAUCUUGGUUGCCAUUUCUGCAAACUGUUUACAAUUCACAUACCUCUACAAAUCCAGUCCUGAUCUCAAAUUGCUGCUCAUAAACAACAUAGCAGGGAUUUGAUGUAUGAGGGCAUGUUCUGAAUUCCCCUUCCAUAGCAGUAGCAUGGCUAGCUUCUAGCAUUAAAAAACCUCUUAUGUCUCUUCUUGUUACAAGCAGUGCUCCAUUAACUACUUGAAUACAUCUCGCGGCCAAUUUUUUUAUUUAUUUUUAUUUCUAUUUUUUUUUGUGACUAGUGGCAAGAAGGCAGAUAUAACAUUUUAUUCCCUUCUGCAGCUGCUAGCUGUCUAAAAAUGAAUACUUGUCACAACUGGAGGCAGUGUAGCCUCUGUUAACCAUCCCAGAAUUUAUCUGGGAUGAGUCCACCAAAGCCAGAUGUUGUUAAACUUCAAAGCAUGGUACAAAAGUGAUCCUUCAGGCAGUGUUCUUUAUUAAUUUUAAAGUAUCAGUAUUUCUUAAUGAACCUCAGUAGUGCAAUGAUAAUUAAAACUAUCAGGUAAA